rnacentral:rRNA from 1 species
UUCCUACGGGGGGCAGCAGUGAGGAAUAUUGGUCAAUGGGCGGAAGCCUGAACCAGCCAAGUCGCGUGAGGGAAUAAGGCCCUACGGGUCGUAAACCUCUUUUGCCGGGGAGCAAGGGCGGGGACGUGUCCCGGCCCGGAGAGUACCCGGAGAAAAAGCAUCGGCUAACUCCGUGCCAGCAGCCGCGGUAAUACGUAGGGAGCAAGCGUUAUCCGGAUUUAUUGGGUGUAAAGGGUGCGUAGACGGGAAGGCAAGUUAGUUGUGAAAUCCCUCGGCUUAACUGAGGAACUGCAACUAAAACUAUC